CCGGAUAAUAUUUUGAACCGCAUGGUUCAAUAGUGAAAGACGGUUUCGGCUGUCACUUAUAGAUGGACCCGCGCCGUAUUAGCUAGUUGGUAAGGUAACGGCUUACCAAGGCGACGAUACGUAGCCGACCUGAGAGGGUGAUCGGCCACACUGGAACUGAGACACGGUCCAGACUCCUACGGGAGGCAGCAGUAGGGAAUCUUCCGCAAUGGGCGAAAGCCUGACGGAGCAACGCCGCGUGAGUGAUGAAGGUCUUCGGAUCGUAAAACUCUGUUGUUAGGGAAGAACAAAUUUGUUAGUAACUGAACAAGUCUUGACGGUACCUAACCAGAAAGCCACGGCUAACUACGUGCCAGCAGCCGCGGUAAUACGUAGGUGGCAAGCGUUAUCCGGAAUUAUUGGGCGUAAAGCGCGCGUAGGCGGUUUCUUAAGUCUGAUGUGAAAGCCCACGGCUCAACCGUGGAGGGUCAUUGGAAACUGGGAAACUUGAGUGCAGAAGAGGAGAGUGGAAUUCCAUGUGUAGCGGUGAAAUGCGCAGAGAUAUGGAGGAACACCAGUGGCGAAGGCGGCUCUCUGGUCUGUAACUGACGCUGAUGUGCGAAAGCGUGGGGAUCAAACAGGAUUAGAUACCCUGGUAGUCCACGCCGUAAACGAUGAGUGCUAAGUGUUAGGGGGUUUCCGCCCCUUAGUGCUGCAGCUAACGCAUUAAGCACUCCGCC
rnacentral:rRNA from 1 species